rnacentral:rRNA from 1 species
GGUCAAGUUAUUAAGGGUGCAGGGCGGAUGCCUUGGCACUAGGAGCCGAUGAAGGACGUGAUAAGCUGCGAUAAGCUUCGGGGAGUUGCACGUAAACUUUGAUCCGAAGAUUUCCGAAUGAGGAAACUCACUUAGAGUAAUGUCUAAGUAUCAUUAAGUGAAUACAUAGCUUAAUGAGGGGAACUCAGGGAACUGAAACAUCUAAGUACCUGAAGGAAGAGAAAGAAAUUCGAUUCCGUAAGUAGCGGCGAGCGAACGCGGAUUAGCCCAAACCAAUAAAGUUUUCUUUAUUGGGGUUGCGGACAUAUCAUAACGAAGAGGUAUCGUAAUUGAAGAGGUUUGGAAAGACCCACCACAGAAGGUAAUAGUCCUGUAUGUUAAACGAGAAGACUUUAGAUAUGAUCCAGAGUACCACGGGACACGUGAAACCCUGUGGGAAGCAGGAGGGACCACCCUCCAAGGCUAAAUACUACCUAGUGACCGAUAGCGUAUAGUACCGUGAGGGAAAGGUGAAAAGAACCCCGGGAG